GGUCCACAUCUUUUCGUCCGUUUCCGGUGAACCGAGAGGAGCGGACACAGCGAUGGGAUCCAGUACGACUCCGCUGACGGAGUGUGAGAAAAUGGCGAAGGCCAGAGGAGCUGUGGCUUUACCGCUACACUCCUACUGGUUUGACUUCUGGGUGUUCGUGCUCCUGAAUGUCGCCUUGUUCAUAUUUGUUUACUUCGUGGUUCCCUGAAGAGGUUUGUCUCCUGGACUCUGAGGCCUGAAGUUGUGGAUCCCUGCUGCCCUGCCGUGGAAGUGAACCCAAGUUUCAAUAAAUGAGUCCGUUUUAUUUUGGAGGCCACGUAUCAAGUUUCCGCCCAUGAUCUGACUUUUUGUUCCUGACAUUCUGGCUUCAUGUCGGACACCUGAACCACAGACUUUCAGCGGUCGCCGGCUUUUGUGCAUUGACUGCUUGUUUGGAUUUAGUGACCAAGAGGAAGAUAUUUUUGAAAUGUUUGUCGUAUUCUUUGACUGACGGUGAAGUGUAACAGCUCUGAUGCUGCUUGGACGGUAACCUGCUCUGGCUCUGAUUCCACAUCAACAGUUUGCUGCAGAGCACUAGAAGGCAGACUGCAGCGCCUGCCACUCUAUAAGGAAAGUGUAUUGAGGGUUAGUUGUGGAGACCAAAUUUCACACAAAUGUGUUGCUGCAACACAACCCCAUGCACACAUGUUUUGUAAAUUUGCACACGGACAAUGCAACAAAUAAAAUGUUUUGCCUGGUCGCUCAGUGGAAA